CCUAGAGUUGUAGGCUUUGCCUGCUAUCUCUUACCCAUGUCUUUUGAGUACCUUCGUUUCCUCGGCGGGUCCGCCCGCCGAUUGGACAAUUUAAAAACCAUUUGCAGUUUGCAAUCAGCGUCUGAAAAAACUUAAUAGUUA
rnacentral:misc_RNA from 1 species